rnacentral:rRNA from 1 species
GACGAACGCUGGCGGCGUGCCUAAUACAUGCAAGUCGAGCGAAGCGGCGGAUGGGUGAGUAACGCGUAGGUAACCUGCCCUUAAGUCUGGGAUACAAUUUUGAAACAGAUGCAAAUACCGGUUACUAAAGGAUCCACCCUCGAUGCAUUAGCUAGUUGGGAAGGUAACGGAUUACCAAGGCGAUGAUGCAUAGCCGAGUUGGGAGAGUGAUCGGCCACAUUGGGACUGAGACACGGCCCAAACCCCUACGGGAGCGCGCAGUAGGGAACCUUCGGCGAUGGACGAAAGUGUGAUGGAGCAACGCCGCGUGAGUUGAGACGGUUUUCGGAUCGUAAAGCUCUGUUGUUGGUGAAGCGGUAAUCAGCCAGAAAGUCACGGCUAACUACGUGCCAGCAGCCGCGGUAAUUC